rnacentral:rRNA from 1 species
GACAAUGGGCGAGAGCCUGAUCCAGCCAUGCCGCGUGCAGGAAGACUGCCCUAUGGGUUGUAAACUGCUUUUAUACAGGAAGAAUAAGCCUUACGUGUAAGGCGAUGACGGUACUGUAAGAAUAAGGACCGGCUAACUCCGUGCCAGCAGCCGCGGUAAUACGGAGGGUCCGAGCGUUAUCCGGAAUUAUUGGGUUUAAAGGGUCCGUAGGCGGAUGAUUAAGUCAGGGGUGAAAGUUUGCAGCUCAACUGUAAAAUUGCCUUUGAUACUGGUUAUCUUGAGUUGUAUUGAGGUAGGCGGAAUAUGUAGUGUAGCGGUGAAAUGCAUAGAUAUUACAUAGAACACCAAUUGCGAAGGCAGCUUACUAAGUACUAACUGACGCUGAUGGACGAAAGCGUGGGUAGCGAACAGGAUUAGAUACCCUGGUAGUCCACGCCGUAAACGAUGGAUACUAGCUGUUCGGGGCCUUGAGCUCUGAGCGGCUAAGCGAAAGUGAUAAGUAUCCCACCUGGGGAGUACGUUCGCAAGAAUGAAACUCAAAGGAAUUGACGGGGGCCCGCACAAGCGGUGGAGCAUGUGGUUUAAUUCGAUGAUACGCGAGGAACCUUACC